GUGUGCUUCUUGCCUUUCUGCUAAAGAAUAGAGACCAAUUAUAGUUUUUAUACAAAUAUUUUACUUUUAUCAAUUUUUUCCCUGAUGGUGGUGGAUCCCUUAUCCUCGUGUUUCGAGCUCCACUAACCUUACGUACAUUUUUUUUAACAUUUUACUGAAUUUAGCUUUUAGUUUUACUAAAAUCAGAUAAAAGUUGCAAGUGUUUUGCUCAUCUCUACUGAAACAAGACUCAAGAAAUGGCGAAAGAGAACAAUAGUCAUCACCACGCAGAAGCGAAGAGAAAAAGACUCAUUUGGAUUCUCUGUGUAAGUGGGUUCUGCAUACUGUCUUACGUUCUUGGAGCUUGGCAAACCAACACACUCCCUUCUUCUUCCUCUGAGGUUUUCUCAAGAAAGGGAUGUGAUGAAACCAAGACUCAGUCAAAACUUUCUACUUCUUCUGAAGACGAGGAUGCGAGUCUCUCUUCUUCCUCUUCCUCUUCCUUGUCCUCCUCUUCAUCUUCAGAACCAGUUGAGUUAGAUUUCGAAAGCCAUCACAAACUCGAGCUCAAACAAAAGAACCAAACCAUAAAGUAUUUCGAGCCAUGCGACAUGUCUCUCAGCGAGUACACUCCAUGUGAAGAUCGAGAGAGAGGUAGAAGAUUCGACAGGAACAUGAUGAAAUACAGAGAGAGACACUGUCCUUCAAAAGAUGAGCUUCUUUAUUGUCUAAUUCCUCCCCCGCCAAACUACAAGAUUCCACUCAAAUGGCCUCAGAGCAGAGACUAUGCUUGGUACGACAACAUCCCACACAAGGAGCUAAGUAUCGAGAAAGCAAUACAAAACUGGAUCCAAGUCGAAGGAGAACGAUUUAGAUUCCCUGGUGGUGGCACCGGGUUUCCACGUGGAGCUGAUGCUUACAUUGAUGACAUUUCUAGACUCAUCCCUCUUACUGACGGAGGCAUUAGAACAGCUAUUGACACGGGAUGUGGUGUUGCAAGUUUUGGUGCUUACUUGUUGAAGAGGGAUAUUGUGGCUAUGUCUUUUGCUCCAAGAGACACUCAUGAAGCUCAGGUCCAGUUUGCGUUGGAACGUGGAGUUCCUGCGAUUAUAGGGAUUAUGGGAUCAAUAAGGCUUCCUUAUCCGGCCAGAGCUUUUGAUCUUGCUCACUGUUCUCGUUGUUUGAUUCCUUGGUUUAAGAACGAUGGUUUAUACUUGACCGAAGUGGACCGAGUUUUAAGACCGGGCGGUUAUUGGAUUCUUUCCGGUCCACCGAUUAACUGGAAGAAACACUGGAAAGGCUGGGAAAGAACGCAAGAGGAUUUGAAACAAGAGCAAGAUUCAAUAGAAAAUGCAGCAAAGAGUCUUUGUUGGAAGAAGGUUACAGAGAAGGGUGAUUUUUCAAUUUGGCAAAAGCCAAAUAAUCACAUUGCGUGUAAGAAACUUAAAAGAGCUCAUAAAUCUCCUCCAAUAUGCACCAAAGCAGUUCAACCUGAUUUCGCUUGGUACAAAGAACUGGAAUCUUGUGUAACGCCAUUGCCAGAAGCAAACAGUCCAGAUGAGUUUGCAGGAGGUGCUUUAGAGGAUUGGCCGGACCGAGCUUUUGCGGUCCCACCUAGGAUUAUCCAGGGAACUAUACCAGAGAUCAAUGCGGAGAAAUUCAAAGAAGACAAUGAGGUGUGGAAGGAGAGAAUAGCAUAUUACAAACACAUAAUGCCAGAGCUUUCACGUGGAAGAUUCAGGAACAUUAUGGACAUGAAUGCAUACCUCGGUGGAUUUGCUGCAGCAAUUGCGAAAUAUCCAUCUUGGGUUAUGAAUGUGGUUCCUGUGGAUGCGGAGAAGCAAACUGUAACGACCCGAAUUUUUGGUCAGGAAUUUUGUUAGCCGGCUAAGGUCCAAGCAAUACCAAAGACCCAAGUGUUUGCCUAUAAAUACCCAAUCCAGCUUUGUUUUCUCAGAAACAAGAAAAAGAAAUAAGAAAGUUAGAAAAGAGAGAGAGAGUUCAAGAGAAGGAAUGAGAAAUCUUGCAAUUGAGCCACCAGGAGUCAUCGCCGGAGCCACCGCACGCCAAGACCACGUCAAGCUCAUCACCACCGUUCGUUGUAGUCGACGAAUCCAUAGCCACCAGAAUCGUCGCAAUCGGAGCUCGGACGAAGCCGUACGAGCCCUCCAAAGUUUUGCCGGAAAUCGCCCUGCCACCACCGGACCACCGUUCUCCGCCGCCGGACCACCGCUGAUCCGCCGCCGGUCCGCCACUUCUCCGCCGCCGGACUGCCAUCGCCGCCGAUUUGGAGUCUAUUUGAGCAGCUGGAGUUCAUAGACAUCACUUUUCUUCAUUGCUAAGGUGAGACCGAUGAGCAGGAGUGAUCAUAUCGGACUAGUGCUACUAUUUGGGCUCGUGGGCUUUAUCGUUUUAUCGUUUUACCUUUAUCGUUAUUGGGCAUUUAGGCCUUCGGACUUCUAUCUUUUACGCUACUUUCUAUUUUCAGGCCUUCGGGCUUAUGUUGUUAUUUAUAUUUCGGAUUUGACUUUAUGGUAUUGUAUUUGACUUUAUGAUGUGACGUGGAUUUUAUUAUCCGUAUUAUUAUUAUUAUUUCCGCUGCGCUA